ensembl:lncRNA
CAAAGUUGAAUGAGAUGGAAAUCAUGACGCAAGCGGUUUACAAAUGUUUCGUGUUAGGCUAUAAAAAUGGAUGUUAUCAAACAAAACGAACAUUCACUGUGUAGUUAGGACACUUGUCAUUGCCACCAGAGGAAGAUCUUCAAUGGAAGAAAACCGUUACAGAAUCACCCACCACAACAGGACCAAGCGGCGUGGUGACAGGCAGCGGCAGCAGGAGCAGUGAAGUAUGGAUUAUACUACUUGGGAGGAAAUAGACAGGUGGGCGGUUGACCCAGGGAGAGUGCCGGAGCCCGCAUGGGAUUUGCUGGAGCAGUGCAGGGAACGUUAUAGGAGAAUGGAGUUGGAGAGAUAAACACGGCGGCGUGGAUGGAAGCCGGAGAGUCAGCCCCAAAAAUUUCUUGGGGGGGCACAGGGAGAGUGUGGCAGAGUCAGGAGUCAGACCUGAGCCAACUCCCCCUGUUUAUCGUAAGGAGCCAAGGAGGAAACCAGAACCAGAGCCGGUGUUGGAGGUGAGCGAAGCAGAGACUGUGAAGGAGUUAAUGGGGAAAUUGGAGGAGAGAGUUAUGAGGGAGUUGCUGUGUUGGUACAUGAGGCACGUAAUUCGUCCGACGGAGAGUGUCGGGGAUUUGAUGGCACCUGGGUCAGCGCUCCAUACUCGUCCUGAGGUGCGUGCUAGUCGGCUGGUGAAGAUUGUGCCAGCCUCAUGCACCAGGCCUCCUGUGCAC